rnacentral:rRNA from 1 species
UACGGGGGGAGCAAGCGUUGUUCGGAUUUACUGGGCGUAAAGGGCGCGUAGGCGGCCUCCGCAAGUCAGUUGUGAAAUCUCCGAGCUUAACUCGGAAAGGUCAACUGAUACUGCGGGGCUAGAGUGCGGAAGGGGCAACUGGAAUUCUUGGUGUAGCGGUGAAAUGCGUAGAUAUCAAGAGGAACACCAGUGGCGAAGGCGACUCACUGGCCCGAUACUGACGCUGAGGCGCGAAAGCGUGGGGAGCAAACAGG